AGGCGCGCUUCGGCAGCCGAUGUAACAAAAUUGGGAUGAUACAGAGAACAUCAGCAUGGCCCCCACACAGGAUGAUGCACAAAUUCAUGACGUGUUCCAUAUUUUC